UGCCGCUCUGGUUCCUGAUACCAACAGGUGGAAUGGGCAGAGAGGAUGUCUCUGACAAGGACUGAGAACUAGAUGAAAAGGGAGAACAACCCUGUGGUACCUAGGGGGACAGAAAAACACACUCUGCAGGAUGAAGAGGGAGCUGAGAACCUUCUACAACUAUAGAAAAGAAGGAUACAGACCAAACAGGAAGAGACUUCACAGGUAGCCUAGCAUGUCAUCUUGGGAGCUUGGAAGGCCACCAUACUGAGUCUUCAAAGUUUAUGAGAGGGUUGUGACUCCCCCACAUCCUGGGUGUGUGCAGAAUGGGUUACAGCGGGGGCAGAAAGAGAGACGUGGAAAACACACUAGCAGAUGAAAUGGUGAUUGAUUGAUUGAUCAGAAGCCCAGAAGGAGGUGACCUGAGCAAGCUAGCACCUCACCAGCCCGGAUGGAAAGAUGGAAACAGUGGUAUUUAAUAGACGGGAGACCUGAGGCGAAUUUGAGAAGCAAGCCAACAAGAUUUACUGACAGGAAGAUCAUCAAAGCUGCGGUCCCCACCAGCAGCUCCUGACAUUCCUGAGGAAACCUCCUUCCUUCCCUUUGGCCUCUUGUGGCUACACACAGUCACUCACUGACCCUGGCACACACUGUAGGUCCUCAGUAGGAAACCAAGCUAAUCUCUCUCUCUAAGGGUUUUUUUUUUUUUUUUUUUUUUUUUUUUUUUUGCCAUUUUGAAUCUUCCAGGAGAGCCUAUCUUGCUUAUUCUUGUAGCUAAUCCCAGCCCCUUGCACCGUGCCUUCCCCAUAAAGAGAUGUGAAUGAACCACUGCUCCACCGGUGAGCAAGUGGGGGAGAACGGGAAACAGCUCCAAGUUGCACUUACAGAAGACUAAGUACUGACAGGAAGCGCUGGUUGGAGAGUAACUGACCACCCUGGGAGAGCAGCCACUGAGAGGAACAAAGACACCUUUCACCCUGCAGGAUUUCAGUCAUUCAUGACUCAGCACCGGGAGGGAAGCCAGACACAGUGCAGCAGGAUCCUAGCCCUGAAUGGGGAUAGAUCGGUAGCCCAGCCCCACUAACAAGAAAGGAUACAAAAAGGAUACAAAGGCAUACAGGUGAAAGGGACUCCAUACACCAUCCCAGCACCGUGCCCCAGCCCAUUUGAAAACCCGUUAUGGGGCAGAUCAUGGCUGCUUCCACACUCAACAGCAGCGACUAGUUACCUGGGAAGCCUUGCUUGGCUGCAACUUCAAAGAAAACGCCACGCAAACAAGAGUGAUUUUACAUUGCUUUCCUAUCAUACAUUGUUCCAAGCCCAUCCUAAGGGGGUGCUCGGAAUCCAGUAACGAUCACACGAUUGCCAACUAACCUCUCCUCAGCAGCCUCACACUGAUGGUGGGGGUACAAGCUAGCCACACACCGAAGGUAUUUACGGCGUGCCUAUACUGUUGAGUGACAGUCACAUUCUUCUUAAGGAUUAAGCCUCAUCAACCAUUUCAAAGCCAUCUUGGGUUUACUCUGGCACCGAGAGACGGAGACAGAAAUCAACAUCAUCUCGUUACGUGAUCAUCUUUGGCAAGAGACGACAUGAUUUCGCCUUCACAGGAAGGAAUGUUGCCUGUGUGGAGCAAAUCAGGCCCAGUGAACCUGUUCACCUACCAACCCCUCCGCCACUCGAUGAUGGAGAGAAAGCCUCUCUCCUGGUGGCCUAGCGGGAGGCUUGUGAUUGGUCCCAAACAUGAAGGCGAGAGAGGCCAGGAUGAGAAGUAGACAGAGGAACAGAAAGCUGUGGAGAGCCAGACAUGUAUGCUCAUGUCUUCAAAAGAGGGUCCUUGGAUUGAGAUUUCCAGAAGGGAAACAGAAAAUGGCGAAUGUAUCUGCAUUUGGUGGUAGCCAGUUGGAAUGAGAAAAUGGCAAAGGGAAAUGAGGUUCCCACUAAGGAACAAUGCUGAGACAUAAUGUAAACUAGAUGUGUGAGGAGUGGACUGACCCUUCCUGCGGGCGCUGUAUUCCCAGUAGAGGGGGAGAAGGCACUGCAGAGGCCUCCGAAGUCCAGAGAAGGAAUGAAGCUGGGAGAUUAACCAUUUGCCAAGCUGUGUUUUUUUCUAAUC
rnacentral:lncRNA from 1 species